rnacentral:rRNA from 1 species
UACGUAGGGACCAAGCGUUGUCCGGAAUCAUUGGGCGUAAAGAGCGUGUAGGCGGCUUGUUAAGUCUUGCGUGAAAUCUCGGGGCUCAACCCCGAGCGGUCGUGAGAAACUGGCAGGCUAGAGUGCGGGAGAGGAGAGUGGAAUUCCGUGGUGUAGCGGUGAAAUGCGCAGAUAUCAGGAAGAACACCCGUGGCGAAGGCGGAUCUCUGGGCCUUACCUGACGCUCAGGCGCGAAAGCUAGGGGAGCGAACAGG